rnacentral:lncRNA from 1 species
UUCAGUUCCUUGUCCCCUGGUUGUUUCUAAUAGUGGGACCUCUGCUACUGUGGAUCUAUAGCUGCAGUUCUUUGAAAGGUCGCCUGUGAUGGUUAGUAUUGUGUCCUUGACAGGUGGGUCUAGACUCCCCUGGGAGACUAAUUUCUGGGCAUGCCUGUGAGGGAUUGAAGGAUUGGUCGCUGUAAUGUAGGGUACCAUUCCCUGAGUCUCGGCCUGCAGGUAAAGAGGCUAGCAAGCUGAGCACCAGCAUCCUUGCUCUCUGCUUUCUGACUGCAGACACAUUGCAACCAGUUGUCUCAUGUCCCUCACUCCCUCACUGCGAGUACCCUCAGAUCAGGAGCCAGAUUAACCCUUCUGAAAAUGCCUUUUGUCCUGUUAGUUUUACCAAGCAACCGGAAAGUAGCUAAGACUUGACCUGUUACCAUCCCAGAGGCAAGGGAUAUAAGUUUAGUCCCUAGUGGCCGUGUGGUGAAAGGAGAGAGCUGACUUCUGCAAGCUGUCCUCUCGCCUCCAUGAGUGGGGCACACUCUUCAAAUACAUGAGUAAAUACAUGCAAUGCUAAUUUGGUAUGUACUUAUUUUAUGUUAGUGCUUGGGCUGGAGAGAUUGCUCAGUGGUUAAGAACACUGGCUGCUCUUCCAGAGGUCCUGAGUUCAAUUCCCAGCAACCACAUGGUGGCUCAUAACCAGAUCUGAUGCCCUCUUCUGGCCUGCAGGUGUACAUGCAGGCAGAGUGCUAUACACACGGUUUAAGAGAUGUUAAUGCUUAUGUAGAUAGUGGCUCACAUCUGUAGUCUAUAGUGCUAGCCUAGGGAGGCUAGGGCAAGAGGAUCACAAGCUUGAGAGCAGCCUGGACAACAUAAUAAGACCUUAUCUCC